GGUUAAGCGACUAAGCGUACACGGUGGAUGCCCUGGCAGUCAGAGGCGAUGAAGGACGUGCUAAUCUGCGAAAAGCGUCGGUAAGGUGAUAUGAACCGUUAUAGCCGGCGAUGUCCGAAUGGGGAAACCCAGUGCAAUUCGUUGCACUAUCGUUAACUGAAUACAUAGGUUAACGAGGCGAACCGGGGGAACUGAAACAUCUAAGUACCCCGAGGAAAAGAAAUCAACCGAGAUUCCCCCAGUAGCGGCGAGCGAACGGGGAGCAGCCCAGAGUCUGAAUCAGCUUGUGUGUUAGUGGAACGGUCUGGAAAGUCCGACGGUACAGGGUGAUAGUCCCGUACACCAAAAUGCACAGGCUGUGAACUCGAAGAGUAGGGCGGGACACGUGGUAUCCUGUCUGAAUAUGGGGGGACCAUCCUCCAAGGCUAAAUACUCCUGACUGACCGAUAGUGAACCAGUACCGUGAGGGAAAGGCGAAAAGAACCCCGGCGAGGGGAGUGAAAAAGAACCUGAAACCGUGUACGUACAAGCAGUGGGAGCACCUUCGGGUGUGACUGCGUACCUUUUGUAUAAUGGGUCAGCGACUUAUAUUCUGUAGCAAGGUUAACCGUAUAGGGGAGCCGCAGGGAAACCGAGUCUUAACUGGGCGUUAAGUUGCAGGGUAUAGACCCGAAACCCGGUGAUCUAGCCAUGGGCAGGUUGAAGGUUGGGUAACACUAACUGGAGGACCGAACCGACUAAUGUUGAAAAAUUAGCGGAUGACUUGUGGCUGGGGGUGAAAGGCCAAUCAAACCGGGAGAUAGCUGGUUCUCCCCGAAAGCUAUUUAGGUAGCGCCUCGUGAAUUCAUCUUCGGGGGUAGAGCACUGUUUCGGCUAGGGGGUCAUCCCGACUUACCAACCCGAUGCAAACUACGAAUACCGAAGAAUGUUAUCACGGGAGACACACGGCGGGUGCUAACGUCCGUCGUGAAGAGGGAAACAACCCAGACCGCCAGCUAAGGUCCCAAAGUCAUGGUUAAGUGGGAAACGAUGUGGGAAGGCACAGACAGCCAGGAUGUUGGCUUAGAAGCAGCCAUCAUUUAAAGAAAGCGUAAUAGCUCACUGGUCGAGUCGGCCUGCGCGGAAGAUGUAACGGGGCUAAACCAUGCACCGAAGCUGCGGCAGCGACACUAUGUGUUGUUGGGUAGGGGAGCGUUCUGUAAGCCUGCGAAGGUGACCUGUGAGGGUUGCUGGAGGUAUCAGAAGUGCGAAUGCUGACAUAAGUAACGAUAAAGCGGGUGAAAAGCCCGCUCGCCGGAAGACCAAGGGUUCCUGUCCAACGUUAAUCGGGGCAGGGUGAGUCGACCCCUAAGGCGAGGCCGAAAGGCGUAGUCGAUGGGAAACAGGUUAAUAUUCCUGUACUUGGUGUUACUGCGAAGGGGGGACGGAGAAGGCUAUGUUAGCCGGGCGACGGUUGUCCCGGUUUAAGCAUGUAGGCUGGUUAUCCAGGCAAAUCCGGAUAAUCAAGGCUGAGGUGUGAUGACGAGGCACUACGGUGCUGAAGUAACAAAUGCCCUGCUUCCAGGAAAAGCCUCUAAGCAUCAGGUAACAUCAAAUCGUACCCCAAACCGACACAGGUGGUCAGGUAGAGAAUACCAAGGCGCUUGAGAGAACUCGGGUGAAGGAACUAGGCAAAAUGGUGCCGUAACUUCGGGAGAAGGCACGCUGGUGUGUAGGUGAAGUCCCUGCGGAUGGAGCUGAGACCAGUCGAAGAUACCAGCUGGCUGCAACUGUUUAUUAAAAACACAGCACUGUGCAAACACGAAAGUGGACGUAUACGGUGUGACGCCUGCCCGGUGCCGGAAGGUUAAUUGAUGGGGUUAUCCGUAAGGAGAAGCUCUUGAUCGAAGCCCCGGUAAACGGCGGCCGUAACUAUAACGGUCCUAAGGUAGCGAAAUUCCUUGUCGGGUAAGUUCCGACCUGCACGAAUGGCGUAAUGAUGGCCAGGCUGUCUCCACCCGAGACUCAGUGAAAUUGAACUCGCUGUGAAGAUGCAGUGUACCCGCGGCAAGACGGAAAGACCCCGUGAACCUUUACUAUAGCUUGACACUGAACAUUGAGCCUUGAUGUGUAGGAUAGGUGGGAGGCUUUGAAGCGUGGACGCCAGUCUGCGUGGAGCCAACCUUGAAAUACCACCCUUUAAUGUUUGAUGUUCUAACGUUGGCCCCUGACCGGGGUUGCGGACAGUGUCUGGUGGGUAGUUUGACUGGGGCGGUCUCCUCCCAAAGCGUAACGGAGGAGCACGAAGGUUAGCUAAUCCUGGUCGGACAUCAGGAGGUUAGUGCAAUGGCAUAAGCUAGCUUGACUGCGAGCGUGACGGCGCGAGCAGGUGCGAAAGCAGGUCAUAGUGAUCCGGUGGUUCUGAAUGGAAGGGCCAUCGCUCAACGGAUAAAAGGUACUCCGGGGAUAACAGGCUGAUACCGCCCAAGAGUUCAUAUCGACGGCGGUGUUUGGCACCUCGAUGUCGGCUCAUCACAUCCUGGGGCUGAAGUAGGUCCCAAGGGUAUGGCUGUUCGCCAUUUAAAGUGGUACGCGAGCUGGGUUUAGAACGUCGUGAGACAGUUCGGUCCCUAUCUGCCGUGGGCGCUGGAGAAUUGAGGGGGGCUGCUCCUAGUACGAGAGGACCGGAGUGGACGCAUCACUGGUGUUCGGGUUGUCAUGCCAAUGGCACUGCCCGGUAGCUAAAUGCGGAAGAGAUAAGUGCUGAAAGCAUCUAAGCACGAAACUUGCCCCGAGAUGAGUUCUCCCUGAGACUUUAAGUCUCCUGAAGGAACGUUAAAGACGAUGACGUUGAUAGGCCGGGUGUGUAAGCGCAGCGAUGCGUUGAGCUAACCGGUACUAAUGAACCGUGAGGCUUAACCUUAC
rnacentral:rRNA from 1 species